UGCUCGUUGGUCCAAGGAUAUCACUUGUAACUUGUCCUGCUCUCGGACAUCUUUCCGCCGCACGAUGAUCGCGAUUACAUGUCUUCAGUAUGCUCGUUGUGCACCUCUUUUCAUAAUCCCCGUCGCGCAUAACGCAACGAAUGCGGUUCUCCGAUUUCCGGCGAGAUGAUAGAAUCAAGUUGCCCGAUCUUGAUUAGCUUGUCGCUUAUUUGUCGGCUGCCUCUUUCUCUGUACGUUUACUUCUCCCACGAAAUAUUAGGGUGAUCUUGUUGUACAUUUCCAACAAGGUGACAAGUGAUUUUAUUCUGCCUCAUUUUAAUAUUUAAUUCGCUUGCUUACCGCUCAAUGUCGUCGGUUUCCUGCUCACUUCUGUCGCUAAAUAUUCAUAUGUUCAACUUUGCUGUGCAAGAAUAACCAAAUGGAUAAAAGGCCGCAGGCAGUGAUGAAAUAUCCUUGUUUACUGCAGUAAAUGCUUCCCUAAUAUAAUUACUUGCAAUAUAGCUCGCUGCGUUUUGAG